GUACAGUGACUCCUUCAGUAGUUCAGCGCCAGCCGAGCUCACUUCAGGAGGUACUUUUGUAUAUUUGUCUGGCUCUCAGGUGUUUUUAUAGUUCACUUUGGAAAGUUCAUGGUUGGCUUUACCUGUUUUCCACUCUGGACUUUCGCUGUAUGUUUGAGUACGGCAGUGUGGGCGAAGCCUGUUGAAGGACUUGGCACCUGCACACAGUGCCAAAGCUA